rnacentral:rRNA from 1 species
UACGUAGGGGGCAAGCGUUGUCCGGAUUUAUUGGGCGUAAAGAGCGUGUAGGCGGCCACACAGGUCUGCUGUGAAAACUCGAGGCUCAACCUCGAGCUGUCGGUGGAAACCGUGUGGCUAGAGUCCGGAAGAGGAGAGUGGAAUUCCCGGUGUAGCGGUGAAAUGCGCAGAUAUCGGGAAGAACACCCGUGGCGAAGGCGGCCCUCUGGACCAGUACUGACGCUCAUGCACGAAAGCGUGGGGAGCAAACAGG